AGUCACUUUUUUCAAUGCUUUGUAACUUUGAACGAUCACUAAAUGAACUGUUGUAAGUUGAGGACUAUUUGUAAUUGUAUGAGUGUACCUGGAUACACUUAAGGUCAAAACUUAAUUUUGUCUGGCUUUUUAUGUUUAAGUCACCAUGAAUUCUUUUUAUCAUGCAUGUAUGUUAAAAAAUAAAUUUCUUCUAUUAUAUUUUUAUCCUACCUUUGCUAUAAAUAACUGAAGGUGUAGAAAAUGCCUAAUAUUCCUCUUAUUUUCCCCACAAUCCUGUGAGUGGCUUUGGCUUAGAGAGAGAGAGUGGGCCAGAGUCCCCAGCCAUCUUUCAUCUUUCAAUCUCCUGGUUUCUGGGUCAACAUCUUCACCACCACACCAAACUGGAACUCUUCAAACAUCUUGAUAAGAAUGAUUGAUUUUAUUUUUAUUUGUAACAUGCUCCAAAUUGUGGAAUUCGUACAUUUUCACAUUUCCGUUUCCAUGUGAAGGUUUCUCUAAUGUAUCAGCACCUAAAUAAGAAGUAACAGAUUUUCUGGUCUGCCUGUUACAUUAGGUACAAUAUCAACUAUCAGCUAUUUUAAUUUUAUGAAAACCAAAAGAUGACUGUAAUAAUUGGUGAAUCAGCAGAUGGCACUCUUUCCUCUUAGUCCUGAUCUGAGGCACUACAUGUCAGCAAACGAUGUUCUCUGAGUGGCUGAAAGGACAAAGAUGAAAGCUGAAGAAUGCAGACUAUAACAUUCAAGUGGCACUAUUUGGAAUGUAUAAAUCAACACUUAUCUUUCACGAAUGCAUAGCUAAUACCAAUAGACAAGGCCAUUUAUUGCUUUUUUCCUUGAGAAAGGAACUGAAAUCUUCAAGGUCCUAGUCUGUUAUAAGAGUCCUUCACUGUAGCAGCUCUGAAGUGGCAUACAACAUAUUGUAAGAAAAAUACCAAAGAUAACGGUUGAUAGGGGAAGGACUUUUGUGUUCUAUUCUUGUUCAGUCACGUAGUGUUCUCAAGUAGUACAAGGAUGACAAUGGGGGAAAAAACUAUUUUACCGAUCUUGCUGGGUGAAAAGUUAGUGGUGCAGAAGUUCCUUGGUAGAAUAUAACUAUAUAAUUUUUCCCUUCUGAAACAGAACAUAUCACAUAAUUUCCCUGCUAGUAGGAAAAUCAGAUGAAAAUUCUCGUUUACAACUGCCUUUGUCCAAGCAUUUAAGAGAACUGCAUCUGGGAUAGUCAUGAAAACCUCAAUACAGAUUGCAAGAUGAAAGAGUUAUGCUCAUUUUGCAACAUGUCCAUUCCUGGUUAUAGAAAUGUUCUGUUCAUAGCCACAGUUUUGUAGUGCAGUUGUCUAACUAGCAUCUUCUGCUUUUCUCCCCCCAAACAGGAAAAUAGUAAAUUUAGAAUCAGGAGAUAACAAUGCUUUAAAAAUAUGACACCCACUUCCCCAGCAGCAUUAUAUGUACCUGUAUAGGGAGAAGUGGCUCUUCCCUCCAGUGAUAACAUACAAGUAGUGCUUGGUUAACAACCACUUGACAGUUACGACACCAUUACCGAAUGAUACUUUUGUCCACUCCCCAAAGUUCCAGCCAUCCCAGUACCCUAUGAUGAUUUGAGUAUGAUCUGGGUGCUUGGCAACCAGCUCCCACAUAAAGCAUGGGAGCUGGUUGCAGCAUCCCAGUGUCAGAUUACAAUGAUUUGUAACCUUCCCUGCUUGCUUCCCACAAGCAAAGUCAAUGGGGAAACUGGCAGAGAAAAUUUUAAAUUUCUUGGGUAAGUAUCCCCAGCCCAUGUAACCUCCCUGAGCCUUGCUGCACUUGUUCUGCUGAAACGUUUUCGGUAGGUGCCCAGGCAAUCAAUAAAGGAAUUGGUGGUACAAAUAUUACUUUUCUCAUGGUAGUUGUAGCACCCUAUACAAAUAUAUUGGGGACAUUUGUGGACUUUGUAAAAAGAAAGUUUGUCCUGACCUUGGUCUUCUAUGUAACUUGGUAGAACCGCACUGUCCAUCUUCUAAGAACGUACAUUUCUUUCGUCUUUUUUAUGUGUAACUCUCUGCCAAUAAGUUAAAGCAAGAACUAAAACACUGGGAGCAGAGAAGCAUUGUAUCCAUUUUUUCUCCGGGCCUCUUAUCAUAGCAUGGCACAGUCACCUCAAACUGGGCGCAGUAAGAAUCUUUGAAACCUCCAUUCAGCUAAAUGAGACAGUCCAUUCAUUACUUACAAUGAAGCAUUUGUCUCUUGCAGUUGAACUAUCAAUGAAAGUUUAUGGGAGAGAUUUAGUAAAAACAUUAGCUAAAGGAAGGACAAUGUGAAAUGGAAAUCUGAAUCAGGGAUACAUCCAAAAUAUCCAUAGAUAUACAGAUUUAUAGACAUCAGAGAGCAAAACUCACAAAGGAGUUUUGUGUAAGAUGAGAAUUUAUGCAACAAGUUCUUUUGAAAAGCUUUCUGUAGGCUUAGCCUGAAUCUGCUUUAAGUUGGCAAAAGGAAAAAGCAUUAUUCUCUUCUAUUGUAAAACAGGGAUAAUUACAUGGAAGUAAUUAAUAUCAAUUAAAAUUAUUCCACAAAUACAUGAAUUUAAAUGAGAAUAUGUGCAUUAGGAAUUUCUCCUACCAGCUACUAUGUAUAUUAUGCAUAAUUUUAACAAUGUUGAUUUUUACACUCUAAAACUUUUUUCUGCUUACCUUUUGACAACUUUUAUUUUUUUAAAUCAAUGUAUACCUGUAUUAUUGUUGGUAUAAUUUAAUAAUGUUUACUACAUCAUGGUUCCCAUCCUGAUAAUAUUCCAAAAGUCUUUCAAAAUCUGGCUCAUCUACUGUAGUCCUGGGGAGGUUUAAGGUGGUUAUACUUCUUUUCUUGCUCUACUCUAUAUGCUUUCCUCCCUUCUAGACAUGCAUACUGUGUUUUUUGACUUCAUUAUUUUUCCCUUUUUUAAAGUUUGCCCAGAGUUGUCUGGAAUUGGACAGCCUCUAAGUCAUAUAAGUUAAGUACAUACAUAAAGCCAUUUGUAGAUUUGGCUAAAUCAAUGAGUCCCAAAGGUGCUUUUUCAGGAGGCAACUGGACUUUCUUGGGUUUUGUUUUUGUUUUUUUGUUUUUUUUAAAAGACAGUUUGCUUUUCAUGCAAGAAGUUUCUUCAGCUCUGACUGGGUGGUGUGGAAUGGGGGAUUCCAUGCCCCACCAUCCAGUCAGAGUGGAAGGAGCUUCUUAGAUGAGAAGUGAAAUGUCUUCAGGCGCCUCAUGAAAAAGCACCUUUGGGGCAACCAUGACCUGGAUAACUGAGAAUCUCCAUAGACUAAAUUAGUGAGGUGGUUAUUAUGGAGAGUUUACAGUCCGGAUCAGAUAGUGAAAGAAACAGAUAAGAAAAGAAUGUAGAGAGAUUUUUAGAAGUUCAAUUUGUGCUGAAAGUGUGGUAGAAAAGAUGGGAAUUAAAGGUAAGCCAGAAAUCUCAAAAGAACGUAGUUUUUCAUAAAAUAUCAUGAUCUAGCAAAUUAUUUUAACUUCUUAGCCUUGGAGAAAGCUGUAGAGCACUGUAAAGCGGUAUAUAAGUCUAAGUGCUAUUGCUAUUUAUUAUUCUUUCUCCUUGGCUGCUUCUAUUUUUGGAAUCAUGUCAAGGUGGAUUGCUUGGCUGACUGAAAGCAACACAGGAUAUUAUGCUGAUGGAUCAGAGACUGCAAGUAAUCCAUAGGAAGAUAUGUGGAGAAAAUCCCCUUUUGGAUGAUUAACCUUAAUGUUGAAGACUUGGAACCAUUCAAAGAUGUUGUGAUGUUGAUGAAUAAGGACAGAGUUCAAUGAUAGGAAGGCUUGGAGGCAAAAUAAGUGGAUUGGCAUUGGAUAGUAUCGUUUGAGAUGGUUGAGAGUGUUCAGUAUGAGUACAGCAAGCAGAUGAAAGUAUGAGAUCCACAGAAAGAAAAAUAAAAUGGAUGCCAUUAGAACAAGGGUAGUGAGAAUUAUAGGAUUUGAAUAGCUCACCCAAGAAAGUUGUGGAGAGAGGGGAAGAUGUUGGGAACACAGAGGAGACCCUUGACAAACAAUAGAGAAAAUGAACAUUUAUGAAUGAGUUAACUGUUUUGGAAAUACUAAGUCAUGGCAGAAUUCCAAAAUGGGAGAGGAUGAUCAAUUAUAAAUAAGGGAUCACUCAAGAAUAGAAAUACUUGAAUUUGGUGCAAAAUGCUAUUUAUUUAUCAUAUAGGUGACCCAACUCAGCACAGACUAGGUGGCAUAAUGCCUAAAAACAAACAAAUAACAUCAUGGAGCAGAACAUAGGUAGAACAAAUAUAACCAAUGCAAACUACACACUGAUAGGCACAGCAUGAAUUUAUCCUAAAGCUUGGAAAAUAUACAUUUGUUUUAAAAUGUCCAGAGUUCAGGUGGUCCAAUUUCUGGAGGGGAAAUGUUAUUCCAAAGGGCAGGUGCCAUGACAAAAUUCUUUGCCAGGGCAAUUUCAGUGGACUAUUGGAAAGCUGAAACCUGAUUGUCAGAUGCCCCUGAAAAUAAGAGCAAAGAAAUAAGCUUAUUCACUUGCACAUGGCAUUGACUCUACUACCCAGUCCACCAAAGCAAUUUUGAGGGUUAUCUACCCAUCAUCUUCAUUUCUGCUGAAUUUGAAAAACUGAGAAAAGAAUGAGCCAAUCAGCAUUUCCACUCAAGUUGACAAAUGGGAGUGUACAAAAAAAGAUCAUUAAAUCAUUCCCUUGUUCACACUGCUGCUAAUCCUGGAGAAAAAGUCCCUUCACCUCCACCCAAAACAAACAGGAAAUAAUAAUGUUAAUGCUUGGUUCCUAUCCACAUUUUCAGUUUAUGGUUGUGUGUGCUUGAUUGUUUGCAAAUAAGGAUCUCAGCAUCUGCACAGUAAUAGGAUGAAACUGCCAGACUACCCACCCAAAUCUCUUUAAAAAUUCACCAAGAGCUGUACAGUUGACAUGAUAUUGUGUCAUUGAUUUUAUAAUCAAUAAUCAACUGGCUACAGCAGAGGCUAAAAGGGGAAAAGUUCUUCACAAAAUAUAUUUUUAGGAUGUAGGAACUGGUCAGAUUGUCAGGUGGCUAUGAUUUACCUUAACCAGACUUCUCUACCCACACUCAAUCCAUAUAUAUAUGUACACUAUCCCAAAAUGGAACUUAGAAACGCAGAAUUUGGUUGAAUGCCCAACAAAGCUUAUGUGGGGUUGCCAAGGUCCAAAGUGGUUUUUGAAUUUGUAUAGAAUCUUCCAGUGGAAAUGCCUUUUGUUAAAAUAUAAGAUUAGAUCAAGGGAAGGAUUUCUUUGUGUGGAGAUGAUCUUCAUAGAAUGAAAUGAAUUGUAUGCAACUAUAACACAUACUCAAUUCACAAGAGCUCACAUUGUUUAACACCUCUCUUGAUGUUUCAGAUAUAGGUAAGUAGGACAAAAAUUAAGUUCUGAUCCAGGUAUUUUACUAUUUUAAUCAUGCAUCCUAUAUUUUACUAAAGUUCAUGGGUACCAGUGAAGAGGCAAUGAAUGCUCCUAUCACUACACUAGCAAAUAUGUUAAUAGCUUUACAGACACUUCCUUUGCAAGUCACUGUGGAUAAAAUAAUGGGUAAUCAUUUUGCCACUCCCAGAUAAUUGCUUACUGCAUCUUCAGUAACAUCAGAAUUUUCUUCUGAAUUGUGUUUUUAAUCUAGGUUAUGAUUCUUUAAUAGCUCAACUCUGUUUUUGAGAUAGACAGAUAUUGACUGUCUUCUUUACUGAUUUCACCUGAAAUAUGAUUUUGGGUUCUUUGGUGUUGAGCUUAUUCUUAGCUAAGCUUAUGCAGGAUGUGGAACUGUUAGCCUUUACCAAACAGGUGUCUUCCAUGAAUAUUGAACUACAGUUUUUUUUAUAAUUCCUAAUCGGCAGAAGAGUGGGAAAUUAGCUGUUCCCCAUUCUACAAUUCAGAAUUUCUCUCCAUGUGUUGACACAAUGGAAGUAGCUAAAUUGGCCAAGUCUACAGUAUUAACGUGCAGUGUAUUUGGAGCCAAGUUCUAGAAUGGUGCCACAGUUCUUGGUUACUAUGGAGAUUAAUCUGUGAAAAGACAUGAAUAC